AAAAAAACCGUCACCCAGACCGCCCACGCCUCCUCCUCCACCUUUCGCCGCCGCGCCUCCUCCUCCUCCUCCUUCCGCCGCCGCGCCUCCACACCGUCUCCUCCCCUCUUCCUCAACCGCGGUGCCCUAUCGCCGGGGAAAUCGCCACCCCCUACGCCUAAAACGAGCUCGGUCGUCGUCGCUAGCACACCAACUGUGCUACCCCUCCAAAGUCGCCCCGCCACACACAGCCGAUCAUCGGGGAAGACCUUGCUGCUUGGCCCCUCCCCUUUGCCGCACCCCGCGUCGGCUACGGUGAUCGAAUUUGUGAAGCAUCAGACAUGCAGAAUUAAUUAUUUUCCCCUUAUUUUCUUGGUUUUCCUGCAAUUAUAAUCUGCAUUUUCCUGAGCCAUGGAGAUCUCUGAUGAUGUGUGGGGGAUGUAUGUGUGUUCUUCAGUGAUUCAGUGUGGAUGCAUCUUGUCACACCCCUGAACUAAGAGUUCUGUAGCCAUCCAUGGAAAGAAAAGUGAUGCAAAAAGAAACUGGCAAGUGUCAAUUCAGAGAUAUGGCCACUUUGGAAUUCAAGACCAUAUGGAUAGCUGCUGCAUAUUGUGAUUAUUUUGGUUCAAUAAUUGCAGCAGGGGCACAUGGUUCGGGGCGUGUGCUCUGGUGCACAUCCUUCCUCGACAACCAGCUGUCGAUGGCAAGAUUUUCACUUCUGCAUUGAUGAACAGACCCAAGGUUGCAUAGCCCGGUUCCAAGCAGACUGUUGGGAGCAAGUGCUUUGCCAAGUGUGUGACAAAGCCAGGCUCAAGCUUGAGCGGUAGCGAGAGCAGUUGCAUAUCUCGCUGUGUUGAUCAUUACAUUGAGGCAACUGGUAUUGUCAGCCGAGCUCUAUUCAGUACCACACGCUGAGUGAAGAUGUAGCCUUUAGUUUCUGCUUAAAUCAGAAUGAGGGAAAUGCUUUCCUAGAUUCGUUAUUUUUGUCUUCUAAUCUGUGAGAAAAAGAACAACCUUUAUUAAUUAAGUGCCAACUAUUAGCUAUGCUGGUUUUCAGCUGAUAAAAGCCGUAAAUUCUGCUUUGCACA